UUUUUAAUAGAUUUGUAAAUAAAGGUAUUUCUGUUUUUUUUAAUAGAUUUGUAAAUAAAGGUAUUUCUGUUUUUUUAAUAGAUUUGCAGAAAUGUAUCUAAACCUGUUUUCACUCUGUCAUCAUGGGCUAUUGUUUAAGCGUUGUGAGGAUUAUUAUUUUAUUUUUAAAAUCCAUUUUAGAAUGAGGCUGAAUAAUACUUUCUGAAAGCACUGAAUACCUGGAUAACCAGACGUCUAAGGUCACCUGGAUAACCAGACGUCUAAGGUCACCUGGAUAACCAGACGUCUAAGGUCACCUGGAUAACCAGACGUCUAAGGUCACCUGGAUAACCAGACGUCUAAGGUCACCUGGAUAACCAGACGUCUAAGGUCUCGACUCGCUAGUUAAUCAGUUAUAUGAAUGGAUCAGUUAAGUACCACGGAGAGAUGAAGUGGCAGGACUGUGUAGUACUAGUUGUAGCUGGGGUGUAGAGCCCUCAGUUGUCCAUCCCUACUAGGGUUGCAAAACUCCAGGAACUUGUUUUUCCAGACAUCCUGGUUGGAGGAUUCACAGAAUCUGAAGGGAUGAAGAAGGACAUCUGGACCCCUCAACCAGGAUGUCUGGAAAACCAGGGAAUUUAUUGAAAGUUCCUGGAGUUUUGCAACCCUUUCCCUUCUCUAAGUAGACAUGGCAUGUACUCUACAUCAUCGGUAUUUGGUCUCUAAAUCCAUGAACUGAGGGAAUACUAAGAAUUCCAUUCUUAUUGUGUUUCAUACACAGUUUUUAUUUGUUGUAUUUGGGUCGUAUGUCUUCAUGUGCACAAUGUGGUUUUUUGUUUUUAUUGGUCCAAACUAAAUAUACUGUAAGUCUA